rnacentral:lncRNA from 10 species
AAAACCUAACAGAUCACUUGCUUAAGGGAAGCUUUGUCUACUCUAAACCAGAUUGCAGAGGUCUUUUGUUUGUCCCCCUUGGGGUUUUCCACCAAGGGGCCCUGGGCCUUUGGGUUGAGCUGGGUGGGCCUUUCCCUGUACAGGCGGAGGAAGCAAGUGCAAGCGCCCUUCACCCCGCCCGGCCCGCGAGGUAGUCCUCAGCAGGGGACAAGGUCCGGACGUGGCGCCCCCAGAAGGAGCGCGGAGAGCCCCUGGGACCCAGUCCCGCCAGGUACGCAUCAGGGGCGGAGCUGGACUCGGGGGGCGGGGCUGGGGAGAGGGUGGCCCCUGCACACUAGUCCCCUCCCCUCGACCCCGCAGCCCCGCGGCGCGUUUCCUGAGGCGCCCCCGCCACGUCCCGCGAGUCUCUGCCAAGUUCCCGCGCGGGUGCGCCCCGGUCGCGCCCUCCCUGCGCCCGCCCAGGCCUGGGGAGCUCUGUGGGUGGAAGCCGGCGCCCCCUGGGGGCACCCGGGCGUGGCGAGGGCCUCGGCGGUCGGGAGGCCUCUGCGGGGCAGCGGUCGGGAGCGAGGCCACGGGGCGCCAGGUACAGCCGGCGGGACGUCCAGUGCCAGCGCAGGAGCCGGGCGAGGCCGUGGCCUCCAGGGUUCCUGGGCGGAGGACAAGGCGCGCAGCCGCGUUGGCGCGAGUUUUAAAUCGGUGCCUUCUCAGCUUUGCAAGUUCUUAUCAAUUGCUGCAUGCCAGAGGAAGUUUUUAAAAAAUGGCCCCCAGCUCUAUUGCGGUGUAAUUGAUGGAUAGAAAUUGUAUUUAUUUAAGGUGAACAGCUGGAUGAUGUGAUGGAGGCACGCAGGGUGGAGGGGUUACCACAGUCUAGGUACUCUACACAUCCAGAGCCUCCCACAGUUGACAAAUGGAUUUUCCUAAUCAGUUUCGUCGUGUUUUGUACUUAAGUUGAGGAUUCCACACCGUGUGGUACUUUCAGAAGAGAUGUAGUGGUGAAUCAAUCGCAACGGUUGUGAUGUUUUCCUAAUUAGGUAUUGAGAAUUACCAUUGGUAUUUGGAAUUAGAUUGCGGAGCAUUUAGGAACCGUUCUCGCUAUGUUGCCCAGGCUGGUCUUGAACUCCUCAGCUGAAAUGAGCCUCCCACCUCGGCCUCCCAAAGUGCUGGGAUUACAGGCGUCCCCUCUGCCCCAGUACUGUUUCCUCUCCCCAGCCCAGCCCCCACAGCUGCCUGCCCUGGCCUCACUCCCUGGCCUCCCCCAUCCCAGCCUCUGGGUCCCUGAGUCAGUCCCUGGGGCUGUCUGCCUUCUAGGGGAGCCUCUGGUGUGGACCAGAAAGUAACCUAAUCCCUUCCAGGCCCACCCUGGAAACAAAGGGAUUUGUCCACUAGCCUGGUGGUGAGAACCAUGUGGCCUCCUGUCUCUGGCAGAGAGGACUCCAGGAUCAAGGGCAGGUAAAAGGAGGAGCCUCCUGGGGAGCUUCAGAAGGAGGGUCCCAAGUCCCUCCUGCCCCACUUCUGUGCCUGGGUCACUCACACCCCUGCCUGACUCUAGCCCCCCUUCUCCAGGGGUCUCCACAACAUGUGAAUCAUGCCCAGCGUCUUCCAUUACACCCUUGAUAAAGUCCUCUCCUCACCAGGACCUCUGUCAUUUUACCUCAUGGUUUUGAAAUAAUUUUUGGUCUUCUUAGCAGUUUAAAAAUAUUGUUUUGUUUUUUUUCCUGAGUUUGGAGCAUUCCUGUUACUAAUUACAUUUUUUUUUUAGACAGGUGUACACUACUACACCCAGCUAAUUUGUUUUGUUUUGUUUUGUUUUGGUAGAGAUAGGAUCUUGCUAUGGUACCCAGGCUGGUCUUCAACUCCUGGGCUCAAGCAAUCCUCCUGCAUUGGCCUCCCAAAGUGCUGGAAUUACAGGCAUGAGGCAGCACGCCCAGCCCUAAUUACUUCUAUUACGCCAAAUUCCUUGUGUGGAAUUCCUGUGCUUUGCACACAAAUUGCCAGGUUGGCCCCAAAGGGGAAAAAAGUGGAUCCCAUUUUCCCAUCUUCUAUGCCUACGUGGCUGACAAAUCUCCCGAAUCCCACAGGAGCUGUCGCUGAUCUUUGUCCUCUAUUCGCUGAAAUAAAGUUCACCAUGGAUUUCUGCUUCUUUUAUUCAUUGUCAGUCCACACAUAGGGACAAAUUCCUGUGCUCUCAUUAGAAAGCCAUUUGCUAAGUGAGAACUCCGGGGAGGCCAGGCCUGAAGGAGAGCUUGCUGUCAGUCAUUUCGAUCAGGGACGGGGCAGAGUCCAUUGUCACAGGUGGAGCUGCCCAGCCAUUCCCCGCCCCUAGGAAGUCUGGGCUGACUGGGGGAGGGAGUGCUUA